rnacentral:rRNA from 1 species
AAGCGGUGGAGCAUGUGGUUUAAUUCGAUGCAACGCGAAGAACCUUACCUGGGCUUGACAUCCCGGGAAUCCCUUGGAAACAAGGGAGUGCCCUUCGGGGAACCUGGAGACAGGUGCUGCAUGGCUGUCGUCAGCUCGUGUCGUGAGAUGUAGGGUUAAGUCCCCGCAACGAGCGCAACCCUUGUCUUUAAUUGCCAUCAUUGAGUUGGGCACUUUAAAGAGACUGCCGGUGUUAAACCGGAGGAAGGUGGGGAUGACGUCAAGUCCUCAUGGCCCUUACAUCCCGGGCUACACACGUGCUACAAUGGCAGGUACAGAGGGCUGCGAAGCCGCGAGGUGGAGCGAAUCCCAGAAAACCUGUCUCAGUCCGGAUUGAAGUCUGCAACUCGACUUCAUGAAGGCGGAAUCGCUAGUAACCGCGAAUCAGCAGGUCGCGGUGAAUACGUUCCCGGGCCUU